rnacentral:rRNA from 1 species
GACGAACGCUGGCGGCGUGCUUAACACAUGCAAGUCGAACGGAAAGGCCUAGCUUGCUGGGUACUCGAGUGGCGAACGGGUGAGUAACACGUGGGUGAUCUGCCCCUGACUUUGGGAUAAGCCUGGGAAACUGGGUCUAAUACCGGAUAUUCAUUUUUCCUCGCAUGGGGAUUUGUGGAAAGCUUUUGCGGUUGGGGAUGGGCCCGCGGCCUAUCAGCUUGUUGGUGGGGUAAUGGCCUACCAAGGCGACGACGGGUAGCCGACCUGAGAGGGUGAUCGGCCACACUGGGACUGAGACACGGCCCAAACCCCUACGGGGGGCAGGAGGGGGGAAUAUUGCACAAGGGGCGCAAGCCUGAUGCAGCGACGCCGGGUGGGGGAGGCCGGCCUUCGGGUGGUAAACCUCUUUCAGCCCCGACGAAGCGCAAGUGACGGUAGGGGAAGAAGAAGCCCCGGCCAACUACGG